AGGGACGUGCUGGUGCGCGUCUUUCGAUAGACGUUAGGGAAUUUUGGCUUGGGAUCUUUUGUAGAGGUUGAAGGGAAGUUGGCGUAGGCUGGACUACGAGAAACGAAAUAAAUCUUUGAAUACUGUGUAUGAAAACGGAACCUUGGGAGGCUGGGUAGUAAAUGGAGUAGAAAGGAAAAGAGAAGGCACGCGCUAGGGCACGUGACCAGAAGACCCGGGUCCACGCGGCGCAUCUCUGAGAGACGGCGUGAACACACCGAGCAUAUGACCAGCUUUCAUGACAGCCAGCAGAGAAACAAAGCGCCUUUUCGUGGGUGGCCUUAGCCAAGCCGUUUCUAAGACCGAUCUACAAAAUCAGUUCAGCAGAUUUGGGGAGGUUUCUGAUGUGGAGAUCAUCACACGAAAAGAUGACCAAGGAAAUACACAGAAAGUCUUUGCAUAUGUUAACAUCAGAAUAGCAGAAGUAGACCUGAAAAAAUGUAAGACCAU